rnacentral:sRNA from 1 species
AGCAACUCAGUCGUUGUAGUAUAGUGGUAAGU